rnacentral:miRNA from 1 species
GAGAGAUGUGGCACCUGCCUCUAAAGGAGCUUACAGUCUAGCUGUGAGACUAUACAUGAAAUAUUGAAAGCCAACCUACUGAAUAGUUUCAUAUAUACAAGGAAC